UACGGGGGGAGCAAGCGUUGUUCGGAUUUACUGGGCGUAAAGGGCGCGUAGGCGGCGCAACAAGUCACUUGUGAAAUCUCCGGGCUUAACCCGGAAAGGUCAACUGAUACUGUGCGACUAGAGUGCGGAAGGGGCAACUGGAAUUCUCGGUGUAGCGGUGAAAUGCGUAGAUAUCAAGAGGAACACCUGAGGUGAAGACGGGUUGCUGGGCUGACACUGACGCUGAGGCGCGAAAGCCAGGGGAGCAAACGGG
rnacentral:rRNA from 1 species